rnacentral:lncRNA from 1 species
GUGGCGUCACCGCCAUAAAGCACAGGGCUAUGAACAUUUUUAUUUCCACAGAUGCUGUUAUCAAGAAGACCUGUUGGCAAGAUCCGCAUACCAUUCACUCAAGUCCACCACACACGGCAAGGCAGGUUCUAUGAAUUACUUUCUAUGUCAUUGAACACAAUACAUAUAUUGUUUAUAUCCAGCAGUACUUUUAAAUUAAAUUUAACGAAUAGGAGGCAGUCUGGUUGGUCGCUAUAUAUCUUAACACCACAAACUACUAAAUACAAUACCAUGUUCCUAACACAUGUAUAGCAAUUGUGUUUAUUGCAUUUUGGUGUACUAAUACUACAAGCAGAAGAAAGUAAGUUGUCUUACAUACUGACUACGAGGUCAACAUCUACUGCCCUACUAGUUUAAAUACUGAUUAUAAUGAAUAUUAAGAUUAAUUUUCAUCAUUUCUCAUUAAAAUUAAGGUUGAAACUAGGGUAUCCUUUAGAGAGUGAGAGAGACUAGGCAUUGUGACCGCCGGCCAGGAAAUACAGUUUUCAGAAGACGGAAGUACAAUGCAGAAGAAAUACAGUCCCAACUGGAGUUGUGUUGUAAGAGCAGAGGCUGAGUUUCCUGAAGCAGUUUGCUAGCGCACUGGUCGGGACUGACUUGCAAACAUCGCCAUCUUUACUUCGUCUUGUUAUUUACCGCCGACCACUGCGCCUUUCUCACAGACUCUCAAGUACAUUGCACUCCAACUAGCGUGCAGACAGAAGGAGGAAGUGACGCUGAGCCUGGGCCCACCCUUACUACACAUUAGGUCUCUAUAAGUGAUUGCAGGGAAGUACACGCACUCGCAAAACACAACCACACAACCAUGCGUAUACCCCCACGCAAAAUCUUAGUGUGUGUGUGAGAGAGAGAGAGAGAAAGAGAAAUAGUGUGAGUGAGAGUGUAUAAGUGUAUGUGUGUGUGUGUGUUACAGUGAGAGAGAAUAUGUGUGUGUGUGUGUAAAAGAGGGAGGGAGGAAAAGAGAAAUGAGUGGGUGGACAAGAAGAGUGUGAUUUCAAAAAGACUUACUGCCCUAACUUCUACAAAGCUUCCGUCAACAGCAAGCCAUCAUUUGUUUAUUGCUGUGUUUGUUGACUACAGUCAUUGUUUGUAUAUCUAACAUUGUUUCCUUAUGCUCGCUGUGCAUGUAGAUGGAUCUCUUACUAUUUACUCUUUUCAGUUGUUCUGCUUACUCAAUUAUUGUUGAUUGUCGUUUUCGUUACGAUGUUGUGGAAGUUGACUGCAAUGCAUGUUAUUUUUGUUAGUUGGUGUUUAUUUUUCAUCAUUUUUAUACUUUUUAUAUAUGUAUUGACUUCAGUGUUUGUUGUUUGACGGCAUUUAUGCAUGUUAGAUUGCAAAGAUGAUUGCCCCCAAACAUUUAAUGAUCCAAGACAAGCUUUUAACAUCAUCGAUGGAAACGAGAACUACUUUGCUAAACAUACUAAUAAUUCCAGUCAAUAUCUUAAUUCAGAGAAACAGUUAAACUCGUUACGUCACGUUUGUACUUAGACUAACAAAUGGUCAUCACUUGUCUCUCGAUGCCGUCAUGCCAGUGGUAUGUCCACGACAUUCUCUUGUUCAACGGCUUGGACUUUCCACCAUUCACUAUUUUAUAACAAGGAUGCUCCAACUUCCGUUCUCAGAUUCUGAGGACCUCCUAGCGCCGGACCUGGUCACAACAUAAAAUUGAAGCACACAGGCAAAGGAUGACGCUUGGUGCGUGACCUCUGCCCUUUGCCGUUGUCUAAGACACUCGACAGUAGCUACUAAGCAACAAACAUACCAUCGCGUGUGCACACUGUUAGGUGAGGGUGUUGCUCCACUUAUCCACGUCCAGUCAAAAUGAUCAUUUACAUCCUGACUCCACCCACAGAGGCCAACUUCCUCGAAGUCACAUUCCCAACUCUCUCCAUCUGAAUCACACAGCGUUCCAGUUGGUGCCGUCACACAUCAGCGUAGGCGGACCCUCUCUGCGCAUGUCAGAAGGACAGUCGAAGUACAGGACCCCACCCUGGUGUUGCUUAGUGACCGUCAGGUGUGGCAGUGCUCCGAGAUUAGGACAGCCACGACCUGCCAGCAGAAACUGUGGUCUUCAAGACUGUUUACGAGAAAACAUGGAUGGACAAACGAAGAAAGAAGAAGACAAUGAUUCCAUUCUGAAGGAGAUCGCCUACACAAAUCCUUCUUUCUUUCACACGCUCUGCCAGCUGUAUGAUAGCCAUCAAGUGUGAGCUCCGCCAUGACAACCUCGUCUGUUAACGUCCUUUUCAUUGUCCCUCGUGCUGACCUGAAGCUUUGUCCCCAAACACAAUGGAACACGAGAGCCCCCCUCGUGGAGAGAGCAUCUAUAUUUAGUAACAAGAUGCUGAGAGAGGUUCACCCUCCCCUCUUGCUGUUGGAAGGAACUCUCGAGUCCCUCGCCAUGGAAGAUCAUGAAUGGUCGGUGCUUGUCUGAAGAUGAUGAGUGGCGGAGAACAAUGCUGUUAAUCUCGUGGUUUGUAAUUGCUACUGUUUUAUUAUGUGCUAAUAGAGACAUUCAUUCUGACUGUAGGAGUGGAAAGAGGAAAUAAUAGUUGUAAGAAAUCGCGAUGAAAGAAGAAUUUUAUUUAUUUGCCAAUACAGAAAAUACUAAUCUAAUUGUUACCCUUCUCCCCGAAAAAAUGUGACAAUAGCUUACCCAUCUCCUCCAAACUGUACCUAGUCAUCAUCAGCAGCAGUAGCAGACAGGGACAGGUGUUCAUGUCGGAUGGUCAGAAUUUAUUCUCUGAAAAAAGAAUGCGAGGUCAGGUAGUGCAGUUUACCAGCGCCGUUUCUUAAGUUGUGCAAGACGGUGAUGUCCUUUGAAUGGUGUAUGGGCCUUGUUGUCUCCUUUAGGGAGUCGCCCACAGGGCUUUAUACUCCACAACCACCUCGUAGCCGUAUAACAACCGGAUUUGCGCAGGAAGCUGCUUGUUAAGCUCGCCAACUAUUCUGAUCCUGCAAGGAACUGCCCAAGGCCGAGCGGUGAAACACGAUCCACACAUUGCUACUUGGUGACCUGACAUCCACCAUGACCACACACGCCUGCAUGCAUGCAUGCAUAAUAGAAAAUUUCACAAAUACUGUAAGAUAUUUAGCUCUUUAUGGAUGCCAACAAAUGAAGGUCCAUUGAUGCCAGACAGGUAAAUAAUUGGAACUAAAAGAAUAACUUGAGUGUUAUGUGUACCUGCACUCUCUCAAGUCUGGAGCUAGACGAAAACAUGUUUUCUAGGGGACGCAAAUUUUGUGAAAGGAAGAAAACCCUAGAGGACCGGGAUGACGCUGUUCCUCAGGCAUUGUCAUAGGGUCAAGGCCAUAUUUUGGAGAAUUAAUGAGUGUUGUGAUUGAGGUUCACUGAACCUGAUGACCUCUAUCAACCUUUUUCUGUUCUCAAACGUGUGUGAAGAAGGUGCGCGUUGCGAGAGCGACUCAGUCGACGAACAGUGAUUAUACUCAUACCACGGGUAGUUUCUAUAGCAUCUACACACCAACCUGCACAUCAUGUCUCGAGCUUUCCGUUAUGCUUUUGUCUUUCUGUCGACCCCGCACACAAAAUCACACACACACACGAGCGCAUGCCAAUACAUACACGCCAAAAAAUUAAUUAAUGAAAGCAGGCUAGAUUGUUAUGUUUUAAUAGCAAUAAAAAUGUAUAUCAUCAUAACAUUC